AGCGAACGCUGGCGGCAGGCCUAACACAUGCAAGUCGAACGAACUCUUCGGAGUUAGGGGCGGACGGGUGAGUAACACGUGGGAACGUGCCUGUAGGUUCGGAAUACCUCAGGGAAACUUGAGCUAAUACCGGAUGGGCCCUUAGGGGGAAGGAUUUAUCGCCUUUUGCGCGGGCCGCGUCUGCUUAGCUGGUUGGUGAGGGAAAGGCGCACCAAGGCGACGUUCAGGACCUGGUCUGAGAGGAUGAUCAACAGCCUUGGGACUGCGGCCCGGACCAAACCGCUACGGGGCGCAGGGGUGGGGAAUCCUGCGCGAUGAGCGCUAGUCUGACGCAGCCGUGUGGGGUGAAUGAUGCUGGUCUUAGGAUUGUACAUUUCUUUCACCGGGGACGAUAAUGACGGUACCCGGAGAAGAAGCCCCGGCUAACUUCGUG
rnacentral:rRNA from 1 species